AAAGUUACACAAGAAGAAUUGGCCCUUGACCAGCCUGAUUGGUUGCAGGAGGGGACCAAUCAGAGGUACCUCCCAUUUUUCAUCUGCAGCCCAAUGCAAAGUAAUGACAUGGAUCUGGAGAGAUUCUCUUAGGAGAGAAUCUGGCUAAGUGUCUAGCAGGAUGAUUGAUUAACAAGAUGUUUUGUUUUCAUCAUCUCAGAGAUAACUGUAUUGAGGUAUAAUUGAUAUGCCAAAUAACUGGACACAUUCAACUUGUGCAAUUUGAUGAGUUUGGAGAUACACAUACAUCUGUGAAACCAUCACCAAAAUCAAGGAUCGUUGUCAUUGGAUUUAAGAGGGCCUACCCUGAUAAUACAGGAUAAACUCCUUCUCCCAAAACCUUUUCUUCUCUCAGAAUCUUUUGGCAGCAAACACAUUCAAGCAUCUUCUAUGUGCCAAGAACUUGCUGGAAAACAUCACAAAAGUUAAUAUUUUCUGGAGAUCAAGGAAUGAAACUCAGCCCUCUGCAAAUGGAACACAAACGCCUGGUACAUGGAUGCUACAAUGAAAAGAAUAUGGGUGCUGAAAUCAGAGAGAAUCAUCCAAGAUGAUCCUUAUGCAUGCUGAACUCUGAGAGCCACCAGUGAAGAAGAUAAGUGACCCAUCUACCUGUAGCUGGAAAAUAAAGGCUCUUUGGGAUUCUUUCCCAUGAGUCUUCAUUUCACCAUAUUGGUGAGAGAAGGCAUUCAGGCCCAAUAAUUAACUGAACAUUAGCUGUGUACCAGACACUGUGGUCGACAUUGAGAUAUAACGGAUUUAAGAAAGUCUUUGUGGCUGUGGUGGCUUCAAAUCACUCCCGAGGCUUUAGAAGAAUAUAAUUGCCGUUCUAAGAAGAAUCUGAGGCCUCUAGGAGAUCUGCCAGUAGUGGCCCCAAUGUAUAACAGCACUAGCUCAGUGAAGAGAGAGAGAAAAGAUCUGAAGAGAGUGGUUGCAGUUUGAGCUCUGUCAAUGGGACAGUCCUGGGCAGGAGACUGGGGAGAAGAGGCGGCUUGCUGGUUUUCCUGAACCACUUCCACCCUGAAAGACUCCUUGCAUACAAUCAUCAGAGAAGAACCGUGGGAACCAAGAACCAUGAGCAGGAGAACCAUGAGCACACUGUUCGCAAUGGCCAAGAUUUGGAGGCAACCUAAGUGUCCAUCGACAGACAAAUGGUUAAAGAAAAUGAGGGAGGAGGAAAAAACCAUGGCUGCGGAGGUGAUUUAAUAUCCUGUUGACUCUGAAGAAAAAUACACUUCUUCAUUAUAAGAGUUUUAUUGCCAAUGACUAGAAGGAAAUGUAAAGGGGACAACACAAGAUGACUAACACAGGAAGUUAUAAAACUCACAGCUCUAACUGUCAUGGCCCUGGGCCCAUGGUGCCUGAAUCCCUCUGGGAGUAUUAAAUGGAAGGCCCCCUGGUACCUGAAUUUUGUUUUAGUUUUCUCUCUCCAUCUCUGUGAUUACACAUAAAAUCAGCCAAGCACCUGCUCCCCUCCAGCCUAGAUAACACAUACCUCCAUGCUAUAAAGGGACAAUUUGACCAAGAGACACCCACCUCACCUGACCACAGAGCUGGAAAAUCUACUAUGUCAGACUUCCAUGCAACCGCUGGUGGGAGAAAGUUUUCACGAGUCUCUCUGGGCCCUUAUCCCUCUCCCCUGUAUUCCCAUCCUUAUCCAAAUCCACAUUUCACCAAACUCCCUAACGCUAAGCAGCUGUUGAAGUUCAGAUCACAGUCUCUGAGGAGCUCCUGGUUUCCCAUGGAAUGUGAUUUGCCUCAUCAUCUUACAGCCUGCCUCCACUUUGCUUUCUUAUCAUUUC
rnacentral:lncRNA from 1 species